AGCAGUGGGGAAUCUUCGGCAAUGGACGAAAGUCUGACCGAGCAACGCCGCGUGAGUGAAGAAGGUUUUCGGAUCGUAAAACUCUGUUGUUAGAGAAGAACAAGGAUGAGAGUAAAAUGUUCAUCCCUUGACGGUAUCUAACCAGAAAGCCACGGCUAACUACGUGCCAGCAGCCGCGGUAAUACGUGCCAGCAGCCGCGGUAAUACGUGCCAGCAGCCGCGGUAAUACGUAGGUGCCAGCAGCCGCGGUAAUACGUAGGUGCCAGCAGCCGCGGUAAUACGUGCCAGCAGCCGCGGUAAUACGUGCCAGCAGCCGCGGUAAU
rnacentral:rRNA from 1 species